rnacentral:rRNA from 1 species
ACGGCUCAGUAACACGUGGAUAACCUGCCCUUGGGUCCGGCAUAACCCGGGAAACUGGGGAUAAUUCCGGAUAACGCACAUAUGCUGGAAUGCUUUAUGCGUAAAAUGGAUUCGUCUGCCCAAGGAUGGGUCUGCGGCCUAUCAGGUAGUAGUGGGUGUAAUGUACCUACUAGCCUACAACGGGUACGGGUUGUGAGAGCAAGAGCCCGGAGAUGGAUUCUGAGACAUGAAUCCAGGCCCUACGGGGCGCAGCAGGCGCGAAAACUCUACAAUGCAGGCAACUGCGAUAGGGGGACAUCGAGUGGCAUCCACCUUGGGUGCCUGUCCAACCGUCUAAAAAACGGUUGUUAGCAAGGGCCGGGUAAGACCGGUGCCAGCCGCCGCGGUAAUACCGGCGGCUCGAGUGGUGGCCGAUAUUAUUGAGUCUAAAGGGUCCGUAGCCGGCUUUGCAAGUCCCCUGGGAAAUCCAGCAGCUUAACCGUUGGGCUUUCAUGGGAUACUACAUUGCUUGGGACUGGGAGAGGUAGGAGGUACUCGGGGGGUAGGGGUGAAAUCCUGUAAUCCUCCGGGGACCACCGGUGGCGAAGGCGUCCUACCAGAACAGGUCCGACGGUGAGGGACGAAAGCUAGGGGCACGAACCGGAUUAGAUACCCGGGUAGUCCUAGCCGUAAACGAUGCCCGCUAGGUGUCACGACGGUCGUGAAUCGUCGUGGUGCCGUAGGGAAGCCGCGAAGCGGGCCACUUGGGAAGUACGGCCGCAAGGCUGAAACUUAAAAGGCAAUUGGCAGGGGGGC